UACGUAGGUGGCAAGCGUUAUCCGGAUUUACUGGGUGUGAAGGGAGCGUAGACGGUUGUACAAGUCUGAUGUGAAAGCCCACGGCUCAACUGUGGGAGUGCAUUGGAAACUGUAGAACUAGAGUAUCGGAGAGGCAAGUGGAAUUCCUAGUGUAGCGGUGAAAUGCGUAGAUAUUAGGAGGAACACCAGUGGCGAAGGCGGCUUGCUGGACGAAAACUGACGUUGAGGCUCGAAAGCGUGGGGAGCAAACAGG
rnacentral:rRNA from 1 species